CACCGCCUGCUUGUUAACAAUAUAUAUUUUAUUUUGUUUGGCUCGAUUCGAGGAUAUUCGGUCGUCUUUCACAGUGGAGGUGCCGUUUGAGGGGGUUAGUGAGGGGAAGGUAUUCGAAAAGCUUAAGUACGCGCAUCUUAUGAAAAUGAGACCGGCUUACAAAAGGUACCUAUACGUACACCCCGUCAUACAAUAUAAAGCGUCUAUCUAUUCUUUGUACCUACACAUAGGUAGUGUGGCACGCGAUAUCGAUUGUCGAGGAAUACAAUGUAAUAUAAGUACGAUA